AUGAACGCUGGCGGCGUGCCUAAUACCUGCAAGUCGCGCGAACGGACGAGAAGCUUGCUUCUCUGAUGUUAGCGGCGGACGGGUGAGUAACACGUGGAUAACCUACCUAUAAGACUGGGAUAACUUCGGGAAACCGGAGCUAAUACCGGAUAAUAUUUUGAACCGCAUGGUUCCAAAGUGAAAGACGGUCUUGCUGUCACUUAUAGAUGGAUCCGCGCUGCAUUAGCUAGUUGGUAAGGUAACGGCUUACCAGGGCAACGAUGCAUAGCCGACCUGAGAGGGUGAUCGGCCACACUGGAACUGAGACACGGUCCAGACUCCUACGGGAGGCAGCAGUAGGGAAUCUUCCGCAAUGGGCGAAAGCCUGACGGAGCAACGCCGCGUGAGUGAUGAAGGUCUUCGGAUCGUAAAACUCUGUUAUUAGGGAAGAACAUAUGUGUAAGUAACUGUGCACAUCUUGACGGUACCUAAUCAGAAAGCCACGGCUAACUACGUG
rnacentral:rRNA from 1 species